AAGCGAUCUACGUCAAGUGCUUUCGAUUCAUCGAAGGGGCGUGCUAUGGAAGUUUCAGCUUUUAUCACCCUUUAGGGCCCCAGUGCCUGCUUGGGAUUUGUGAGACGAAUAAACUGGCAGCUUUCUGACGUUGCCGGGCUAGAGGGGAAUGAAAGAGAUUCAUCCCUGGAAGAGGUGGCUCUAAUUCUCGUUUUGAAGUUAAAGAUAUCCACAGAUUGAGAAAACCUGCUCCUCCCAUUGUAAUAAUGUUAACGCUUCCCUAUAUUUAUGUCACAGCUUUCUUCAAUGUACUUCAGAUAUGUUCUCAUUCAUCUUCAAAAUGUCUGAGUACUGUCAAAUUUGGGUUGACUAGCUUAUUGAAUUUAUGAAUCUUCCAUGGUUACUCUGAGGUUUCUUUAAAAACAAAGAGUUGUCUAGAGCGACUCUGAGGAAAAAGACGAUGUAGAAAAAUACACCAGAAACAUUGGACCAUA